ACCAUGUUUCUUCUGAAUUCUGAUUUCGUGGGCCGCUACCCGUUCGGAACCUUCCGGAGCUUUGCGCCGAUUUAGGGUUUUCGUUUCGCCUAUUGAUUGUUGGAUUUUGAGGAUAGUGAGGAUCAGAUCUGUGCCUGGUUGGUCUUUUGUCUUGGAUAGAUCGGUCAGAAAAGGGAAAUCGCUUCUGUGCACUUUGGAUGAGUCGGGAUUGGGAAAUGGCGGUGAGGAGAGGAAACGCUCGAAGAGGUGAAAGUUUUUUUCUUCGGAGCUGCUAAUUAAGGGAAGGCAUUGGCAAUGAAAUUCAAAAGCAAAGGUAUGUGCGCUAAAUAUCACUUCUUUUACUGUGGCUUUGUGCUCUUUUCCUGCUCGGACAUGGCAUACAAAUAAUCUUGCCUGAGCCAAAUCCGGGGCACAAAUGAUCCGGUUCAGAUAUGCAUCUGAGUUCUGUGUUGGAACUGGAUUUCUGUAUUAGGAGUAAGAGGGACAUGUUGGAGAAUAGAAUUACUGAGCUGGAUUUGUUGGAAAAAAGAUAGAAACUUGAUAGAGGCUAAGGUUGAUAAGGAAAAGUUUUACAAGAUGCAAAUGGAAAGAAUAUCAAGAGAUAAAAGAGUUACAUUGGUGUCCAAAAUCUAGAGUUUCUUGGUUAAGAUGUGGUUACAUCAACUCGAAAAUACGACCAUGCUACCAUAAAUGUAACAAGCGUAAAUAAUGUAGCAGAAUUAGAUAAGAAGCAUUUAUUGAAUGUUUUUGGCUUUCUAACAUUUAGAUUUGUCCACUCUGUUUAGUGAUAACUCUUGCAGAGAUAUCUUAAACGUUUUAGAUGAGAGCUUUCAAUUAACGAUGUGGCAACUGCAAUAUGUAAGAGACUGAAAGAUGGCCCUUGGGCUGGUAAGCUUGAUGGUUCUAAAUUCAUUUUGUAACACAAUUCUGGGGCAUAAUAAAGGAUAAUUCACUAGUGGUCCUCAGACAUUUUUGGAGAAAAGUAGGUUUGGAUAAUCUAAAUUAUGCUUUCAUUAUGUUGGUGCCAGAAAAAGAAGGUGCUUGUAGAGUUAGAAUUUACCUAUUAGUCUGCUUCAUGUGAUGAUGAAAAUUGUUUCAAAGCAUUCAUGGGAUGAUUAAAAUAGCUUCAAGAUUCCAGCCAUUGGUCCUUAGGAAGUUCUGAAUUAAGUCAUUGGCCCCAUAGUGUAUGUGGUUUCUGAAUAACAAGCUGUCAAUGCAUAUAAGGUGAUUUCAGCUUGCUACAGGAUAUUGGGCUAUGGAUUCUUGAUAAAAUUAAUUUAUGAGGAAUUUUUUGAC